rnacentral:rRNA from 1 species
UACGUAGGUGACAAGCGUUGUCCGGAUUUACUGGGCGUAAAGAGCGCGCAGGCGGUCGUUCAAGUCGAGUGUGAAAGCCCCCCGGCUCAACUGGGGAGGGUCAUUCGAUACUGAUCGACUCGAAGGCAGGAGAGGGAAGUGGAAUUCCCGGUGUAGUGGUGAAAUGCGUAGAUAUCGGGAGGAACACCAGUGGCGAAGGCGACUUCCUGGCCUGUUCUUGACGCUGAGGCGCGAAAGCUAGGGGGAGCAAACGGGG